ensembl:snoRNA
AGCACUUGUGCCUGUUUUUGUUUAACUCGUGAACAAAGACUUGCAGACAGCUAAAGAGAAAUCCUCCCCCAAACCCAGAGCUCACUGUCCACCAUGAGUUUUGAUACAUAUAAGAAAGAAAAUG